AGAACAUGUAGUGUGCACAUAGGUCUUUAUAGCCAAAUAUACCUGUUUUUCUGUUUUGUUUUGUUUUUUUACAUGUGGAACAGAGUUGCUGUGAUAUUUCACCUACAGUUUCUAUUUUUUAACACCUUUAUACAUGCUUGAUGAAGGUCCGUUGUUGGGAUCAAAAUGCAUUAGAUUAUCUCUAAAUACAUGUGUUAUAUAUAUAAGCAGUAACAUGUCCCUAUUUGAAUAGGGUUUCAU